GCCUAGAUUAGCAUACGGGGCGGGGCUCGCUGCGCCCCGCCUUCUCUGCGGCUGCACCGCCCCGCGGGGGUUCGGUUCCGAGCGUCGCCUUCCUCUACGGUCUCCGUGUGGAGCCCGGCCGCGGGGUUCUAACGGUCCAGCCCGCAGGGACUCAGGACUGCGGUCUACCCCCGACCUCCUCACACCUUCCGGGGUGACCUGAGGGCGGAGCCUGAGUCCUGUGUCCCCGGUUGCACCGCCCCCAACCACCCCCGUCCCCUGUCGACCCCGUCUCCAGUCUCUUCCAAACCGGCCGGCCCCCGGCCUAGCAAUUCGAGAUUUCUCCCGUGGCUUCCGAGGAAAAGGAGGCCCCUACCCUGUAUCUGUGCCCUCCUUUGCAUCAGGGACCUAAACUGCUGUUUUGGAGAGGUUGUCUCUACCCCUCAGCUUGGUUGGUUUGAAACCCUGCACGACCUGUGAAGUCUUCCCCGGAUGGCUACAUCGUCUGGGGUCCCUUGUCCUGCCUGUACCCACAGCAAGCCCACGAAUCCAGGGCUUCCCUUGUUUCUGGAACAGCAACAGGAGGCCACCCUUCGGCUUGAGCCCUCCCCACCGCCCUCCACCGCCUGACUCUGACUUCUGGAAAGAGGAAUCUUCUCUGAGUGUCUCCAGCUCCUCCCCAGCCUGCUGCCCUAGCAGGUUGCUGGUGUUGACUUCUGGAAAGAGGAAUCUUCUCUGAGUGUCUCCAGCUCCUCCCCAGCCUGCUGCCCUAGCAGGUUGCUGGUGACCAAGCUGACAGUUUGUUAGGCUGUCUGAGGGGCCUGUCUGCUGCCUCAGCCUGCUGUCUGCCUCCCUGCCCCUCCACUCUCUCUAGUUCACCCCCACCUGCCCUGCUGCCCAUGGCUUUCCUCGAGUCACAAGGAGAAGCAAAGACGGGCCCAGGCGCUGAAGCCUCAGCGUCUCUGCAGGUUCUGGGUGUUUCCAGGGCUCUGCCUGCCAUGCCCUGGGUGAUCACCCAUACAUUUCCACACCUGAAGCCAUCCGGGCAAGUGUAUGCCUGAAUGCUUGCCCCAGGCCCAGCCCCCAUAACUCCAGGCACUCAGGGUCCAUAGCCCAGAGCAGGGAGCUAGCACGGCUGGGCGGGGGGAGGCUGCAUGCUGGAGCAGAAUUCAGACUAAUGAAAGGAGGUGCAGGACAUCUCCCCUCAGACAACUGUACAGCCAAAUGCAUGGUGCUGGCAGAGCGUGCUAACCCCUCCAUGGCUGAAGUCCCGAGACUGGGAGGCCAGGGAG
ensembl:lncRNA